rnacentral:rRNA from 1 species
CAGUAGCCGCGGGAAUACGGAGGGUGCAAGCGUUAAUCGGAAUUACUGGGCGUAAAGCGCACGCAGGCGGUUUGUUAGGUCAGAUGUGAAACCCCCGAGCUUAACUUGGGAACUGCAUUUGAAACUGGCAAGCUAGAGUCUUGUAGAGGGGGGUAGAAUUCCAGGUGUAGCGGUGAAAUGCGUAGAGAUCUGGAGGAAUACCGGUGGCGAAGGCGGCCCCCUGGACAAAGACUGACGCUCAGGUGCGAAAGCGUGGGGAGCAAACAGGAUUAGAUACCCCGGUAGUCCCUGUCUCUUAUAC